rnacentral:sRNA from 1 species
GCAUGUGUGUGCAUGUUUAAUAGAUGAUCAUGAUUGAGCAUCGAUUGAGAUAUGAGUGCUUAGCUAUAGAUGAGUCUUCUCCCAUCAAAGGCUCUGGGAACAUUCUGGAAGAGGGAGAAUAAAGAAUGUCACAACCAGCAGAGGAGGAGAGAACUGUGAAAUGCUAACUUCUGAAGGGAUGACUGUCACACACAGCAGCUGUUGUUGCUGCACAAGAUCUGGACAGAAUUUGGUAAGUCACAAUUCCAAUAUGAAUGGGAAGAAGACCUAGGACUCGCCCCUACUGGAGGAUCUAUUAACAGUUGAUGGCUGCUGAGGGAAGGGAGUACCACUCUCUUUUGGGGAAGUAUCCAUUGGUAUGUUGAACAUUCCUUGGUGGAUGACCCCACAUACAUGUUCAUAUGUGGAGCACUAACUAGACUCAGGGGAUUAUAAGAAGCAAUAAAAAACAACAACAUGAAUUUGGGGAGGAGACAGAGUGGGAGAGGCAGUAGAGAAAGUUGGAGGGAGGUAGGGAUGAAUGAAUAUGACUAAAAUAAUGUCGUAUAAAUAUAUGAAAAACCAAACAAAACAAUGACACCCCAACAACUCUGGAACCAAAAAGGAACCUUCUUUACUAAUGAACACUGAUGCCACCUUCUGCUCACCAGAUGACACAGUGCUCUUGUAGUUGGUUGCAAAGUUCAGUGACCCCGGGGGAAGUCAGGAUUUUGACCAGCAUCCAAUCAUCAGGUCUCCCUGCAGAGAGCACCAAGUCCAAUGCUUCUAUACAGUCAAGGUCGGGUCUCCAGUUUCUGCUUGUGGUUUCUUAGAAAUUGCACACAUGCUAAAGACACUGCUGUUUUUAAUUGCCCUGCCAUCACUUUACACCAAUCUGCAGUUGACCUUUCAAGGACAGAUUUUGUUUAUUGCUCCUUUCAGUCAAAGAGAUGCAGAAUUGUCUAAUAGAAUUGUCUAAUCGUCUAUCUCUUUAGACAGCCAGGAAGCCUUUUUUAAAAUUUACAGAAAAUACUAGCUUCUUCUGUCUCCUGGAGGUGGUAGCUUGGGUUAGACUGCAUUAGGUCAAAAUAUUCACCUUCAGUGUGUUUUGUCCUUUUCCACAUUUAUUGUAGGUGUUAAGGACCUUCCUAUGACCUGCCACACUCUUACCUGUUUGUUCCCACUCCUCAUACAACUUCUUGUCAUCAUGGAGCCCUGGAUCACCCAUAUUAGUAGUGAUAUCCUUCUAGAAACACAGACUCCCAACACAUCACUUUGAGGAAGCAUUGUCUUGACAGAAUAGCACAUUUAAUCCUGAGUUCAGAUCUCUGACACUGAGGUAAAGUCCUUUGCCCACAGGUUUUUUUACCUGUUAAUUUUUCUAAUGGUCUAUAAUAUUUUUGCAGGAAAUUUGUAUCAUGAGAACAUCAUUUAUAAGACUAAUGAAUUCAAUGAAAGUGUUGCCAUGAGUAUUUGUACCCAUUGGUCCACCUCACCAAUGAAUUCCAAGGUCUGACUGAGUUUGUCUUUGUGACUUGGUGUACAGCUCACCACCUCUCUUUGGCACCAUGGCAAGGGAAGAACUGAAUUGUCUUUUCUUGGGCCACGGGAGACAGCAAGGCAUGGACAUUCGUGUUAUGACAACCCUAGGGAACUGUAAUAAUCCAGAUGACCAGAGGCAUCCCCCACACCGCUGCGACCAUUUCAGCAUGGCAGGAAGGCAUGGGACAGCCACAAUAAUGAUCCUUGCAGGUAGAAGCUCGGGGAACAUGAGACUGUAGACGAAAUAAAGGCGCUGCGUUUUCUUGGGUAAAAUGUCUCGUGGAACUUUCACACUACGCUGGCAUUUCCAGGAAAUGUAGAAACGAUCUGUACAAACAACUUCUCAGUCCAUCCCAGGGAUUCAAGAUGGGCAGCCUGUGCCAGAAUCCUUUGGUCUUAAGUCUACAUGUGCAGACCGACGAGAUCAAAUGCGGUUUCUUUAAAAAUGCAAUCGAAAAAGAAAAAGGAGCAAUUUCAUUCAGCAAGGAAAUUGUUUUAUUGUUCAA